rnacentral:rRNA from 1 species
CACGUAGUUAGCCGUGGCUUUCUGGUUAGGUACCGUCAAGACUUGUUCAGUUACUAACAAAUUUGUUCUUCCCUAACAACAGAGUUUUACGAUCCUAAGACCUUCAUCACUCACGCGGCGUUGCUCCGUCAGGCUUUCGCCCAUUGCGGAAGAUUCCCUACUGCUGCCUCCCGUAGGCGUCUGGACCGUGUCUCAGUUCCAGUGUGGCCGAUCACCCUCUCAGGUCGGCUACGUAUCGUUGCCUUGGUAAGCCGUUACCUUACCAACUAGCUAAUACGGCGCGGGUCCAUCUAUAAGUGACAGCCGAAACCGUCUUUCAACAUUGAACCAUGCGGUUCAAUAUAUUAUCCGGUAUUAGCCCCGGUUUCCCGGAGUUAUCCCAGUCUAUAGGUAGGUUACCCAGUGUACUCACCCGUCGCCGCUAACAUCAGAGAAGCAAGCUUCUCAUCUGUUCGCUCGACUUGCAUGUAUUAGGCACGCCGCCAGCGUUCAUCCUGAGCCAGGAUCUAAAACUCU